rfam:Ictidomys tridecemlineatus contig011025, whole genome shotgun sequence.
GGAGAUGUGGCUCAGUGGUAGAGCACUUGUCUAGCAUGUGGGAAGCCCUGGGUUCAAUCCUCAGCACCA